rnacentral:rRNA from 1 species
CUGACGAGUGGCGCACGGGUGCGUAACGCGUAUGCAACUUACCCUUAACUGGAGAAUAGCUCGAAGAAAUUCGGAUUAAUACUCCAUAACAUUUUCCUAUGGCAUCAUAGGAUUCUUAAAGCUCCGGCGGUUAAGGAUAGGCAUGCGUGACAUUAGUUUGUUGGUGAGGUAACGGCUCACCAAGACUACGAUGUCUAGGGGAUCUGAGAGGAUUUUCCCCCACACUGGUACUGAGACACGGACCAGACUCC